AUCUAGGUUGGGCGGAUGAUUGACUUACAAACCCCGCCAGGUCGGGAACGAAGCAACGGUAGUAUGAACGGUUAUUGCGCUUUAAUCUAGGUCAC
rnacentral:SRP_RNA from 1 species